rnacentral:rRNA from 1 species
AUUGAACGCUGGCGGCAUGCCUAACACAUGCAAGUCGAACGGAGGUAGGGGCAACUCUACUUCAGUGGCGGACGGGUGAGGAAUGCGUCGGAAUCUACCCUAUGGUGGGGGAUAACACAGGGAAACUUGUGCUAAUACCGCAUGAUGUCGAGAGACCAAAGCAGGGGACCGCAAGGCCUUGCGCGAUAGGAUGAGCCGACGCCCGAUUAGCUAGUUGGUAGGGUAAAGGCCUACCAAGGCGACGAUCGGUAGCUGGUCUGAGAGGAUGAUCAGCCACACUGGGACUGAGACACGGCCCAGACUCCUACGGGAGGCAGCAGUGGGGAAUAUUGGACAAUGGGCGCAAGCCUGAUCCAGCAAUGCCGCGUGUGUGAAGAAGGCCUGCGGGUUGUAAAGCACUUUUGUUGGGGAAGAAACCGGCCGGGUUAAUACCCUGGUUGAAUGACGGUACCCAAAGAAUAAGCACCGGCUAACUUCGUGCCAGCAGCCGCGGUAAAGUCG